rnacentral:rRNA from 1 species
CUUAGAGAUAGGCUUUUCCCUUCGGGGACAGUGGUGACAGGUGGUGCAUGGUUGUCGUCAGCUCGUGUCGUGAGAUGUUGGGUUAAGUCCCGCAACGAGCGCAACCCUUGAUCUUAGUUGCCAGCAUUCAGUUGGGCACUCUAAGGUGACUGCCGGUGAUAAACCGGAGGAAGGUGGGGAUGACGUCAAAUCAUCAUGCCCCUUAUGACCUGGGCUACACACGUGCUACAAUGGACGAUACAAAGGGCUGCAAACCCGCGAGGGGGAGCCGAUCCCAUAAAAUCGUUCUCAGUUCGGAUUGUAGGCUGCAACUCGCCUACAUGAAGCCGGAAUCGCUAGUAAUCGUGGAUCAGCAUGCCACGGUGAAUACGUUCCC